rnacentral:rRNA from 1 species
GCACCGACCCCGUCACCCCCUUCCAAAUCGCACCGAGGACUCGCGUGCUCCCUCGCCGCCUCCUCCCUUCCUCCCUCCCCCCGCGGCGUCGCCCAACGAAACCCUAGCUCGCCCGCGCCGUCGUCUCGCCGGAGGGCGGAGAGGGCCGGGGAGCGGAGCGGGAGGCGGGGAUGGGGAAGAAGAAGAAGCGGGUGGAGAAGGUGUUCUGCUACUACUGCGACCGGGAGUUCGACGACGAGAAGAUCCUGGUGCAGCACCAGAAGGCCAAGCACUUCAAGUGCCACGUCUGCCACAAGAAGCUCUCCACCGCCGGCGGCAUGGCCAUCCACGUCCUCCAGGUCCACAAGGAGUCCGUCACCAAGGUUCCGAAUGCCAAGCCCGAGAGGGAUUCCACCGAGAUCGAGAUCUUCGGCAUGCAGGGGAUCCCCUCCGACGUGCUCGCCGCCCACUACGGGGAAGAGGAAGAUCCUUCAUCGAAGGUGGCCAAAGUAGAAGUGCCGACAAUAAGACCUCCUAUUAUGCCUAAUUAUCCGAUAGGCAUGCCUUUUCCUCCUCGGCCUUAUGGUGCAGCCCGCCCUAUGUAUAAUCCUGCAAUGAUGGUCCGACCUCCGAUUUGGCCUCUUCAGCAGCCGCAACCUUGGUUUGCUCAACAACCACCGGUUUCAGUUCCCCCAAUGAUUGCUGGGCAAGCACCACAGCAACCACUAUUUCCCAUUCAAAACAUGCCCAAUCCUAUGAUGGCAUCAGCACCUGCUAAUUUACUUCAGACAUCAUAUGCUAUGGCCACCACAGGGGUUCCUUCACCUGUUGCCCCUCAGGCUUCCCAGCCUUUGUUUCCUGUUAACACCACUGGCAAUGGAGCCGCAAAUUCCUCAUUCAGCUCGUCAAUUUCACCUGCAACUAUUGCAGCAAAUUCUCCAGCAUCAGUUGGUACGGCAGGAUAUGGCUAUGUAGCUAAUAACCAUGGUACAGGAGGACCAGCAGUUGGACAUCCACCUGCACCUACCACUAAUAGUAAAACGUCUGCUACUCAACCAGCUACAAGUGAGGUCUAUCUGGUGUGGGAUGAUGAAGCAAUGUCAAUGGAGGAAAGAAGGUUGGCGCUGCCCAUGUACCAGGUGCAUGACGAAACUAGCCAGAUGAGCUCGGUUGAUGCAGCGUUCGAUCGAAGAAUAUCAGAUAUUACAUUUUCUAGACAAUCCACAUAAACAAGCUGCGCCCGGUGUUCAGUAAACAGCUUGAUGCGAUUCACCAACGGGCUCACCCGUGCAUCCGUAGGAGGGACGCCGUGCAAUCGGUGAUCCUGGAUCCCCCCUGUUGUUGAUCUACUUAGUUAGUGACUGGAGCUACUGCAGUUGAAAGAUUGUAUUGGUCUGACUUGGAGAUUUUGGCUCAACAUCAUUUGUGUCCUGUCUAUUCGUGUCGUGAGUGGAAACCUGUGAGACCUAGAAGUCAUUUGUUCCGUUGUCGAUUGACUGAUGAUAUGAGAGUAUCGUCAGCUCUGUAAACCCGAGGAUGAAAUUAGCAGUGUCUUUUCACCAGCUGUGCUGCUGUUGAGUACCAUUCGUUGUUAGCACCGUCGUUUUGCCUUCGGCGCCGUGAUCGUGUGUCCAUGGCUAGCAAAAGCAAAAGAGGUGUUGCUUGUUUCAGCAAAUUUCUCAAAGGGAAUGCAAUUCUUCUCUCCGG